rnacentral:misc_RNA from 1 species
ACCCUAUGACUCAGCAGCGGAACCAAUAUAGGUAGGUACACGACCUUGUAAUUUUAUUAUACUGCGUUGAAGUUAGUCCUAUACUAAAUACUUCAUAAUUUUAUGAAUGAAGAAGGUCUGUCAAUUAUUUACUUCUUAUAAUUCAAUUAAAACAAAGUUUUUUUUUCAAUAAUUAAAUAUUUUGUUCAGACAGCGGAGACAGGUGGUAAUUGUUUACGGGUACAUUAAUAUCGAUGGGAAAUAAAAAAUAAUAUUACAAAACAAGUCUGCUUAUGGUUAACGCAAUAUUCAUUGGUAGGGCACAAUUUAUUAAUUAAUAAUGUCAGAAAAAUAAUAAUGGAAAGAUGUAUACGCUAAGUAAUUUUAUGUGGCAUCCCGUAGAGAGCUUGGGUAUAUACUCUUAGAACAAUAUGAUUAAGGAAAGAUGGAGGGGGGAGAGGUGGGGGAGUUCAUGGUCAAGAACUAAUUCUCGUCACCUAAAAAAGCUAUCAGACAUAAUCAGAGCAUAUUUUUCAUAAAUAUUAUAUAAGUUUUGAAUGAAUGACUACGUAUGUUUAUAAAAUUAUGUAAUGUACGUAAGUUUACAAACAAUAGUUAAGUAACUCGAAUAACGCAAACGGUCAUGUACAAGAGAUUCGGUGAUGUCUUUUUGUUAUAUAAAUCG